AUGCUCACUUUGGCAGCACAUAUACUAAAAUUGGAACAAUACAGAGAAGACUAGCAUGGUUCUUGUAUAAGGAUGAUAUGCAAAUUAAUGAAGUAUUUAAUAUUUUU